UUAUUGAAUGUACUAAUGUGGCCAAAAAGAAAAAAGGGUAAAAAGAAUAAAGGAACCGUUAUUUCGUUGCAAUCGUUUUUAUCUAAUGCCGAUGCACCGGUUGGAACCACUCAAGUUUCAAAAAAAAUUCGAAAUUUUGAUGGUGAAGACAGUGAUGAAGGAAGUGGUUCAUUGCCCUUAAUUUAUCAGCUUCCUACAGCGCCAAGGGCCAAUCGAAUAUUUGAUGAUAAUUCUAUUCCUCAUAAAGCCCCGUUUAUUGCUUAUAUCAAUAACUUGCCGUUUGAUGCAAACGAAGACGACCUUUAUGAAUUUUUUGGAGGUAUUAAUUUAAUUUCUCUGAGACUUCCACGUGAAGAUGGCGAAAACGGCCGUUCAAGGGGCUUUGGCUAUGUUGAGUUAGAAUCUCGAGAAGAUUUAAUUCAUGUGCUAAGUUUACCAGAUCCAUCUAUUAAAGGUCGCCGCAUUCGCAUUGAGCUAUCCAAUGAGAACGAUCAGCAAAACCGGCAGAAAAGUAACAGGCGGUUUGAUGGCUUUGGUAAUAGCGGAGAUAAUAGAGACUCUGGCAAUUGGAGACGAGAUAGUCAAAAUAAUGGCAGUAGUUUUGGAUAUUCUUCCAAUUUUGACAGAAGCUUUAAUAGGGAAAGAAAACCUGUGCCAGAAAGAGAAGAAGCAAACACCCCUGGAUCUUGGCGUACAAGUGCCAGACAGCAAUCUUUUGAUUCGUCGCCCUCUCGAGGGGAUGUUGACCAAGUAUCUGAAAAAUAUCGCGACGGUCGAGGCAGAAUUGCGGAAAGAUACUCGCGGGAAGAUACUCCCAAGUUUGAAGAAAGGCCAAAACUAAAUUUAAAACCACGAACUCUACCAUUGCCCGAUAUAAAAAAAAUUGACUUCGAAAAAAGUGAUGUCGACGAAACAAAUUCAGCUAAGCAAAGUGGAACUUCAUCAAUGAACGUGUUCGGAUCCGCAAAACCGGUAGAUACAGCUGCGAGAGAAUUAGCGAUUGAGGAACGUUUAGCUCUCGCUCGAAAACAGGAUAUGGGUCGCCAAGAGGAGGAGUUUUUGAGUGACAAGCUUGGUGAAGUCCAAAUGGAUAAAAACGAUAACGAAAGUAUAAAUGCAACAGUAAGCUGGCGCCAGAAUCAAGACAAUAAGGAGGAUAAAACAAUAAAUAUGUAUCAAGAUGAAAAGCAUCGUGGAGAAGAAAAUCCUAAAUUAAAUCAUCCCCGGAACCGAUUCGACAGGCAUGAAGUUUUAAAAGGAAAAGCUAAUACGAACGGGGAGAGCAACAUUGAGGAGGAUUGCGAAUUCAAACGAGAUUCACGUGAUGACCGUUCACUGCCAAAGACUAUUUGCCAGAAUGAACCAAUUUCUUCCAAAAUGUUUGCUCAAAAACAGUACAUUCUCAAGUAGAGAAUAUAAUUUCAGAACGUCAAAAUGGUUUCUGAGUAGUAAUUUUUCAUUAAUAAAUUGAACAUGGAAUAGCAAAACUCCGUUGCGCAAUCGCCUAAUAAAUAUUCUGGACUUGACGAUGGAGGAUCGGAAUAAACAAUUUAUAUGGUUCUUAUUAACGAAUAAAAAUAAAGAAAGCGUAUAUAGUAUAAUA